rnacentral:rRNA from 1 species
AGAGUUUGAUCAUGGCUCAGAUUGAACGCUGGCGGCAGGCCUAACACAUGCAAGUCGAACGGUAGCACAGAGAGCUUGCUCUCGGGUGACGAGUGGCGGACGGGUGAGUAAUGUCUGGGAAACUGCCUGAUGGAGGGGGAUAACUACUGGAAACGGUGGCUAAUACCGCAUAACGUCGCAAGACCAAAGAGGGGGACCUUCGGGCCUCUUGCCAUCAGAUGUGCCCAGAUGGGAUUAGCUUGUUGGUGAGGUAACGGCUCACCAAGGCGACGAUCCCUAGCUGGUCUGAGAGGAUGACCAGCCACACUGGAACUGAGACACGGUCCAGACUCCUACGGGAGGCAGCAGUGGGGAAUAUUGCACAAUGGGCGCAAGCCUGAUGCAGCCAUGCCGCGUGUAUGAAGAAGGCCUUCGGGUUGUAAAGUACUUUCAGCGGGGAGGAAGGUGUUGUGGUUAAUAACCACAGCAAUUGACGUUACCCGCAGAAGAAGCACCGGCUAACUCCGUGCCAGCAGCCGCGGUAAUACGGAGGGUGCAAGCGUUAAUCGGAAUUACUGGGCGUAAAGCGCACGCAGGCGGUCUGUCAAGUCGGAUGUGAAAUCCCCGGGCUCAACCUGGGAACUGCAUUCGAAACUGGCAGGCUUGAGUCUUGUAGAGGGGGGUAGAAUUCCAGGUGUAGCGGUGAAAUGCGUAGAGAUCUGGAGGAAUACCGGUGGCGAAGGCGGCCCCCUGGACAAAGACUGACGCUCAGGUGCGAAAGCGUGGGGAGCAAACAGGAUUAGAUACCCUGGUAGUCCACGCCGUAAACGAUGUCUACUUGGAGGUUGUGCCCUUGAGGCGUGGCUUCCGGAGCUAACGCGUUAAGUAGACCGCCUGGGGAGUACGGCCGCAAGGUUAAAACUCAAAUGAAUUGACGGGGGCCCGCACAAGCGGUGGAGCAUGUGGUUUAAUUCGAUGCAACGCGAAGAACCUUACCUGGUCUUGACAUCCACAGAACUUUCCAGAGAUGGAUUGGUGCCUUCGGGAACUGUGAGACAGGUGCUGCAUGGCUGUCGUCAGCUCGUGUUGUGAAAUGUUGGGUUAAGUCCCGCAACGAGCGCAACCCUUAUCCUUUGUUGCCAGCGGUUAGGCCGGGAACUCAAAGGAGACUGCCAGUGAUAAACUGGAGGAAGGUGGGGAUGACGUCAAGUCAUCAUGGCCCUUACGACCAGGGCUACACACGUGCUACAAUGGCGCAUACAAAGAGAAGCGACCUCGCGAGAGCAAGCGGACCUCAUAAAGUGCGUCGUAGUCCGGAUUGGAGUCUGCAACUCGACUCCAUGAAGUCGGAAUCGCUAGUAAUCGUGGAUCAGAAUGCCACGGUGAAUACGUUCCCGGGCCUUGUACACACCGCCCGUCACACCAUGGGAGUGGGUUGCAAAAGAAGUAGGUAGCUUAACCUUCGGGAGGGCGCUUACCACUUUGUGAUUCAUGACUGGGGUGAAGUCGUAACAAGGUAACCGUAGGGGAACCUGCGGUUG